AAAAGACUAUAUAGGUUGUUGAACUAUAGUGGUUUUGCCAUUUUCAUCUGGCAAUAAUUAUCAGUGUCAAGUCAUUGCAUGCAGAGGUAAUCACUGGUACAAACUAUUCCUCUCGCACAAGAAUGAGCUCAACGUUGUGCUGGUCAGCCUGCAUACUUGUACGUUUGUGUUUACUUGUUAAUGCAAAGCCAGAGUGUGGGAGAGUGUUCUGUGCCCAUACCAGCACACCCUUGGUCUGCACUCCUUUGGAAAGGACACAAAUGGGCCACUUGAAUGUGGAGAAAUUCCAAAGAACCUAUUAAACUACAUGGUUGUAGAAUUCCUACUACCACAAGAUCUUUGAAGGUGAUAAAUUACAAUGUGUGUGCCCUGGAGCAGCGAGGCCAAAAAAGAGUGGAGAAAAAACAUAAUGAACAACAUAACGGGCUUUAGUGAAACCAGGCAACCCUAUGCUUUGAGACAAUUUUUCAAUAAUUUUUUGAACUUUCAUCAAUGACUGAAAAGAUAAUUAAGUGUUUUAUCUCUUCACUAAAAGCAAAAUAAAUAAAAA